rnacentral:rRNA from 1 species
UGCGUAGGUGGUGAGGUAAGUCGGAUGUGAAAAGCUCCGAGCUCAACUCGGAAAUGGCAUUGGAAACUACCUUGCUCGAGGGUUUGGAGGGGGGACUGGAAUACUUGGUGUAGCAGUGAAAUGCGUAGAUAUCAAGUAGAACACCAGUGGCGAAGGCGAGUCCCUGGAAAACUCCUGACACUGAGGCACGAAAGAGGGAGGACGAAACAA